rnacentral:rRNA from 1 species
GAUGAACGCUGGCGGCGUGCUUAACACAUGCAAGUCGAACGGAAAGGCCCAAGCUUGCUUGGGUACUCGAGUGGCGAACGGGUGAGUAACACGUGGGUGAUCUGCCCUGCACUUCGGGAUAAGACUGGGAAACUGGGUCUAAUACAGGAUAGGACGAUGGUUUGGAUGCGAUUGUGGAAAGUAUUUUCGGUGUGGGAUGAGCUCGCGGCCUAUCAGCUUGUUGGUGGGGUAAUGGCAUACCAAGGCGUCGACGGGUAGCCGGCCUGAGAGGGUGUACGGCCACUCUGGACCUCUGAUACGGCCCAGACUCCUACGGGUGGCAGCAGUGGGGAAUAUUGCACAAUGGGCGCAAGCCUGAUGCAGCGAGGCCGCGUGGGGGAUGACGGCCUUCGGGUUGUAAACUCCUUUCGCUAGGGACGAAGCGUUUUUGUGACGGUACCUGGAGAAGAAGCACCGGCUAACUACGUG